rnacentral:lncRNA from 1 species
CCAGUGUCAGCCAUCUUGUAUGGGGUUUACUUGUAAACAAACUCGCUGUACUAUGACAGAUAAAAUAAUUGAAGUUAGAAGUAUUUUAGUGAUAAAAUUACAAAGAAGAAGUGUUAAUAUAUUAAAAAUUGGGUGAAUAUCUAAGAGUUCCACGAAAAAGACGCUGGGAGUCCAUAAUCACCUAUAAAAAUGAUAAGUAUAUGUUUUGAUAGCUGCUACUGCAAGCCUAUUAUUUUUACAUUAAUUACAAUCAAAAAAUGUGGAAAUUUAUAUGUAUAAUAUAGUAUGACGAUCAGAUAAUAGCUAACAUAAUAUUUUAAUUUUUGUCCAGUAGGAUUCUCCGCGUUUUUUUUAUUGUGGGGUUGGUUGAGAUUCUCGCCUGAUAAUUUAGCGAGGCCACGCGGUUGGAAUCGGUAUAUUAUGGUCAGGUCUCGAAGCCAGCCUUACUCGAACAAUUGUAAAGAAACUACUCGACAGAAAUAUUGCUUAUUUGCUAAUUAUUCUUAUUGUACAUUUAAAUAACUAAAUACUUUGAAUAAACAUUUUUUUUUACUCUUUAUAGUCAGUCGAACAACUGAAUUGCAGCCCUAGAUCAGAGGUGCCAUGUACGUAGAAUGACAGGGAAUUAUGUUCAAUAAUAAAUCAGGAUUGAAAUGCACGGCCCAGAGAAAAAAUAAUGUAUUGCGGACUACCAGAACUGGCUGUUCCAGUCAUGAGCAACCGAAUGAAUCACGGAGGAACAAUUUUGCUGGAAUUUGAGCUCUUAAUGAGUCAAAUUUUAUCAUUUCAGUCGCAGAUUAUCACGAUCGGAUGCCGGCUUACAUUUUAAUUUACUUCAAUGACAUUCAAGCAAGUAGUAGUUCCCACAUUCUUUGUUACUCAGCAGUUGCAUUAAUCGUAAAACGUUCUAAAAGAUCAAUUCUGAGAGAUCUUAUAAAAGUAAUUUAAUAAGAUUCGUACACGUACCGUGAUCCAGCCACAGAAUUUUGUGGAACAUUUGUACGUGAAUUUCCAUUUUGGAGUACGCCUGAAAACUAUAUAUAGGCCACAUAGUUAUUCUCAACGACUUCUUCCUAGUUGCUUUGUUAAAGGACCUUGGAAAAAAUGCGAAAAAGAUAAUUUUUGAAACUUUUUGUCGUAUUUAUCAAUACAUCAGCAUCAGGUGUACUCGAACUAAAGAAGAGCUAUCGGCGAAUAUCUAUCAGCGGCUAAAAUGGAUGAUGUAUGUAGAAGAUAAAAUGAUGGUAGUGGACGGUAAGCUGGCGAUGUAUCACGAAAAUUUAAAGCGAUUGUGUCGUCAUUUGGAGGUACUUCUGCAAAUACAUUUGGUACCGCAGAUGGAUGUUAGUGCUGUCAGCGAAGUUGCUAGAAGGCGUAAAUUUUCGCAAGCAUUUUUGGUGAUGGCGAGUAAUCUCGCUUGUCAAUUAUUAACGGUACACAAUGAGGAAAUUGCCAGAUGUAGAGAAUUUCAGAGUAAAUUCGACGGGAAUUUUUUUGGACAGCCUAUUUCCGGGUUUGGAGCAUGUUCCGCCUAGUUUCGCUACUCAAGCGCCAACUAUUUUCGAUAAUGGAUAGCCUAAGCUGACUGCGGACGAUAUGGAAUCACUAAAAAUUAAAUUACUCGAUCUCACGGAUUCCAUUUCAACGCCCGAUUUAAGUAGCAUUUGAUAUCACGCAAUUUUUCCUCUCUAAGAGUCUCACGUGAGUAACUACCAGUGAAGAAAAUAAUAUUAACAAAAUAAUAAAAGAAGACGAUAGUACAACUUUAAUGUCUGUUGAUGUCUCAGCUACCAAGAAAACAAGCGAACACAUUUCUCUGAGAUUUGACUUUGAAUCAGAAACAGAAUUUAAAAAAAUAACCCAGCAAAACGUAAGAUACUCAACAUCACCAUUCUCGAAAUUUGAAUAAAAAUUAAAAAUUCUCGAUUGAACUUAAAAAUUAAGGGUGCCGAAUAAACAAGUGGAGGUUGGUUAUUCGUAAUCCUCCAUAUCUCGAAGUACGAAGUACCAACAAUAACUACUACUGCCAUAAGCUCCUAAGUAAAUCGUGCAGAAAAAAUUUCUGCGGAAAUUUGAGCUCUUAUAUGAGUUAAUUUUAGAAUUUGAGAUGCAGGUCAUGUAACAUUAACAUUCUUAUAUAAAAUAAUCGAAAUUUCUUUUUCCGAUCCGAUGCCGGCUAACAAUUUAUUGUUAGCUACAGUUUGGGUAAAAUUUUUGAAAAUUUUAUCCCAAAUUAGGCCAGAUCAUUAGUUUUAUAAAAUAUUAUUUUUAUUAUCCGUGCUAAUUUAUUUCUGAUCGGAUGCCGGCUAACAAUUUAUUGUUAGCUAUAAUUUGGGUAAAAUUUUUGAAAUUUUUUCCCAAAUUAGGCCAGAUCAUUAGUUUUAAAUAGAUUUUAAAAUAAUAAUUUUAAGUCUGAAUAAGAAUAUAUCGAUCGGAUGCCGGCUUACACUUUUAAGUGAGUUGUAAUAUGGAUAAAAUUUUUUUAUUUUAUUCCAUGUUAGGCCAGAUCGUUAUUUUUAAAUGAAUUCUAUAUUAAAAAUUAGAUAAGUUUAUAUAUUAGAGUAAAUUAUAACGAUCGCAUACCAGCUUAUAUUUUCAUGUAAGUUAUAAUUUGGAUAAAAUUAUUACUAAUUUUAUGUCAAAUUAGGCCAGAUCAUUAGUAUUAAUUAAAUAAAUUUUAUUUGAAACAAAAUUUAUGUUAGAAUAUGUUGUAUUGAUCAGAUGCCGGUUUACAUUUUUAUGUAAAAUAUAAUUUGUGAAUAAUUUAUUAAAUUAUCUCAAAUUAGGUCAGGUCAUUAAAUUUAAAUUAAUUUAAUAUUAUAAAUAUUGUGUUUUUUAUUUGUCAGAGAAGAUAUGAAGAGUAGCACGAUUAUUAUUCUAUAUUUUAAAUGUUCAUUUUUUAAUUAAUUUUUUUCUAUAAGUAACGGAGUCUGCCUUAUCUUUGUGGAUAAUGCAGUUAUCUUUAUAUGAAGAUCGCGCUACUCAUCAUUUCUCCUCAAAUAUUUAUUUUUCUCGCCGUCAGAUGUCAUCAAUAGUGGUGGCAUCUAAAAAGAACAUGGCGGCGUCCAUACCAAAAUUCUACUACCGUUACCCCUUAAA